rnacentral:piRNA from 1 species
UGAUGACUUACUAUUUACCCACCAAAUCCA